rnacentral:rRNA from 1 species
UACGUAGGGGGCAAGCGUUGUCCGGAUUUAUUGGGCGUAAAGAGCGUGUAGGCGGUUUGGUAGGUCCGUUGUGAAAACUCGAGGCUCAACCUCGAGACGCCGAUGGAAACCAUCAGACUAGAGUCCGGAAGAGGAGAGUGGAAUUCCCGGGUGUAGCGGUGAAAUGCGCAGAUAUCGGGAAGAACACCCGUGGCGAAGGCGGCUCUCUGGGACGGUACUGACGCUGAGACGCGAAAGCGUGGGGAGCGAACAGG